AGCGAGCUAAAGAAUGGGCAUGGAAGCAGGAAUGCAUGAUGCCAUAUAGUAAGUAACUCACGCAGUUCUCCAGUGGCCUUCAACUGAGGCACCCUGACGGUGCUAGUGCCGUUGUUGAACGCGUACAUGCGAGUGCCGCCAUCGACGAGCGCCACCGGGUAAACUCUGGCCAUGAUGCAGACCCUGCCACCGCCACCGAAGCUUUCCACCGCGGAACGAUCAAUCUGCAUGUUGCCAGAGGUCGAAUUCGAAGAAGCCUCCAUAGGCUGGUGUGUACAGCUCUGGUCUCAAGGACGACCUGCAAAAACGAAACAAAUUCUAUUGCUUAAUUGAUGCAACGAAGGGUAUGAAGUUUUUAUAAACAUCAGGAUAUCUGAAAUUUUUAGUGAAAACUGAAAAAGAAGAGAUGAAAUUGUAUGUACUAACCUUCUCAGAUCAGAACACAUAAGGAUCAUGUACUUCUGCUGUGAUUUGUAAACUCUGAAGUGCACAUCUGUGUGCUCUUCCAUGUUAUCAGACGCAAGAACCACAAGUCCAAAUGGACCCACGCCGCCAUGAACCGACGCAUCUGCUUCCCGACAAUGCUUCUCGGGGUCCAAAAGCCAGGAAGGAUCAAAAGGGUCAGCACUAUCUAUGUCUGAAGGCUCAAAAUCUAUCUCCACAUCUGCCUGUUUCAAGAAAAUGAUGUGCCGGAUCAGCUACAUUUGCUACGGAAAACAUACCGAAAUGGCAAAACCUAAGCGCAUAUAUAGUUGAUUGUCACAGAUUUGACUGUUAUGACAUCUAGUUGAAGUAAGAAAAGGGUUGUUUGGACGAUCAAGCAAGCAAGUGUGACCAGGAGAAACUAGCCUGUAAAGUAUCGAUUUCCUUAAUCUCAAACAGACUCCCUUUCUUGA